rnacentral:rRNA from 1 species
AUGAACGCCGGCGGCGUGCCUAAUACAUGCAAGUCGAGCGAACAGACGAGGAGCUUGCUCCUCUGACGUUAGCGGCGGACGGGUGAGUAACACGUGGAUAACCUACCUAUAAGACUGGGAUAACUUCGAGAAACCGGAGCUAAUACCGGAUAAUAUAUUGAACCGCAUGGUUCAAUAGUGAAAGACGGUUUUGCUGUCACUUAUAGAUGGAUCCGCGCCGCAUUAGCUAGUUGGUAAGGUAACGGCUUACCAAGGCAACGAUGCGUAGCCGACCUGAGAGGGUGAUCGGCCACACUGGAACUGAGACACGGUCCAGACUCCUACGGGAGGCAGCAGUAGGGAAUCUUCCGCAAUGGGCGAAAGCCUGACGGAGCAACGCCGCGUGAGUGAUGAAGGUCUUCGGAUCGUAAAACUCUGUUAUUAGGGAAGAACAAAUGUGUAAGUAACUAUGCACGUCUUGACGGUACCUAAUCAGAAAGCCACGGCUAACUACGUG